rnacentral:rRNA from 1 species
CAGUNGGGAAUAUUGCACAAUGGGCGAAAGCCUGAUGCAGCUAUGCCGCGUGUAUGAAGAAGGCCUUAGGGUUGUAAAGUACUUUCAACAAGAAAGAAGGGAUAAAAUCUAAUACAUUUUAUCAUUGACGUUACUUGUAAAAGAAGCACCGGCUAACUCCGUGCCAGCAGCCGCGGUAAUACGGAGGGUGCGAGCGUUAAUCGGAAUUACUGGGCGUAAAGAGCACGUAGGCUGUUAAUUAAGUCAGAUGUGAAAGCCCUAAGCUUAACUUAGGAAUUGCAUUUGAAACUAAUUAGCUUGAGUUUUGUAGAGGAGAGUAGAAUUCCAGGUGUAGCGGUGAAAUGCGUAGAUAUCUGGAGGAAUACCAGUGGCGAAGGCGACUCUCUGGACAAAUACUGACGCUCAGGUGCGAAAGCAUGGGGAGCAAACAGGAUUAGAUACCCUGGUAGUCCAUGCUGUAAACGAUGUCGACUUGGAGGUUGUAAGCUUGACUUGUAACUUCCGUAGCUAACGCGUUAAGUCGACCGCCUGGGGAGUACGACCGCAAGGUUAAAACUCAAAUGAAUUGACGGGGGCCCGCACAAGCGGUGGAGCAUGUGGUUUAAUUCGAUGCAACGCGAAAAACCUUACCUGGUCUUGACAUCCAUGGAAUUUAAUAGAGAUAUUUUAGUGCCUUCGGGAACCAUGAGACAGGUGCUGCAUGGCUGUCGUCAGCUCGUGUUGUGAAAUGUUGGGUUAAGUCCCGCAACGAGCGCAACCCUUGUCCUUUGUUGCCAUCAGUUCGGCUGGGAACUCAAAGGAAACUGCCGGUGAUAAACCGGAGGAAGGUGAGGACGACGUCAAGUCAUCAUGGCCCUUACGACCAGGGCUACACACGUGCUACAAUGGUAUAUACAAAGGGAAGCAUCCUCGCAAGAGUAAGCGGAUCUCAUAAAAUAUAUCUUAGUUCGGAUUGGAGUCUGCAACUCGACUCCAUGAAGUCGGAAUCGCUAGUAAUCGUAGAUCAGAAUGCUACGGUGAAUACGUUCCCGGGCCUUGUACACACCGCCCGUCACACCAUGGGAGUGGGUUGUAAAAGAAGUAAGUAGUUUAACCAUUUAUUUGGAGGACGCUUACCACUUUGUGAUUCAUAACUGGGGUGAAG